AUGGACCUCGCCACGGCGGCCUUGCGCUCCCUCCUCCCCAAGCUGGCCGAGCUCAUCCACGGAGAAUACAAGCUGCAGAAGGGCGUGAAGAAAGAUGUGCAAUUUCUAGAGAGGGAGAUGACGAGCAUAGACGCCGCCCUCCGCAAAGUGGCCAUGGUGCCGCAUGACAAGCUCGACGACAACUCCAAGAUCUGGGCCAAUCAAGUCAGGGAGCUGUCGUACGAGAUGGAGGAUGUCGUUGAAAGCUUCCUGGUGGGCGUCCAGGGCUUCGAGCCCGCCGCUAACCCUGACGGCUUCAAAGGGUUCGUGAAGAAGGUGGCUAACCUGUUCACGAAAGGCAAGGCGCGCCACCAGAUCGCCAAUGCAAUCAAAAGCAUCAAGGACCAGGUCCAGGAGGUGGCGGAUCGACGUGACAGGUACAAGAUUGAUGAUCUUCAGGCAAGUCUAGCUGCUACAACCAUGGUUGAUCCUCGUCUGAUGGCUCAGUUCAAAGAUCACAAAGAGCUUGUUGGCAUCGAGGGGCCAAGAGAUGAGCUAAUCAAGAGGCUGGUAGAUGAAGAUGAUUGUGAGUCCAAGCAGCAGCUGAAGAUACUCUCGAUCUUCGGAUUUGGAGGAGUUGGCAAGACAACUCUUGCCAGAGCAGUUUACGACAAGAUACAAGCACAAUUCGUAUGCAAGGCUUUUUUUUCGGUGGGUCAAAAUCCCAACCUGAAGAAUGUUCUCAUAGGUAUUCUCCUCCGACUUGACAAAGACACUUGUUCCAAUCCGACAAUGUUAGAUGAUGUGCUGCUCAUUGAAAAACUCCGAGGGCUGCUUGGGAACAAGAGGUACCUCAUCAUCAUUGAUGAUAUAUGGGAUAUGAGUUCAUGGGAUAUAAUCAAAUGUGCUUUUAUUGAUAGCAAGUGUGAAAGCAGGGUAAUCAUAACUACUCGUAUCUUUGAAGUGGCGAAAGAGGCAAGUGAUAUUUACAAGCAAGAACCUCUUUCUCCUGGUAGAUCGAAGGAAUUGUUCUGUAUGAGAUUAUCUAUUGGCAAAAGCAAAAGCCCUUAUCAUGAAUCGGUUAAGAUAUCUGAGAAGAUAUUGCAGAAAUGUGGUGGUAUACCGCUAGCUAUCAUUACAAUAGCUAGCUUGUUGGCUAGUAAACCAGUAACAGAUUGGCCUGGGGUCUAUGACUCUAUUGGUUUUGGGAAUGAAGAUAACAAAGAAGUGGAUACCACAAGAAAGAUAUUGCUAUAUAGCUACUAUGAUCUUCCAUAUUAUCCACGGCUUUGCCUAUUGCACCUAGGUAUAUACCCCGAAGAUUUUGAGAUCAGAAAAGACAAUUUAAUUUGGAAGUGGGUGGCUGAAGGAUAUGUGCAUGAGGAACCAGGAAAAGGAUUAUUUGAGGUUGGAGAGAGAUACUUCAACUUGCUCAUAGAUAGAAGUAUGAUCCAGGCAGUAGAGAAGCCAUAUUACAGCAUAAUAUAUGCUUGUCAUGUGCAUGAUUUGGUGCUUGAUAUGAUUCAUUUUCUAUCAGAAGACGAAGGUUUUGUUACUGCAUCGAACAGUAACAGGACAUCUCUGUGCAUCACUGCUCGUAGGUUAGCCAUAAAUAGUGAAGCCAUAGAGCAGAAUGGAUAUGUGGCUAACUCGAGCAUGCAGCAAGUGAGGUCAUAUAAUGCCACCAUGUGUCAAUUUAGUAUGUUGCCAUUGCUUUCAAACUUUAAAGCUCUGCGUGUGUUGGCUUUAGAAGAGUGCACUUUCAUGGGAAGUGAGCAAUUCUCUAUGAAGCCCGAAGAUUCUCCUUAUCAUCUCAAGCAUCUUGAGAGGCUGAUUCACCUGAGGUACCUUGGAAUAUCGGACCAGCUUGAGAGCUUAGAGGUCCCUGAAGAAAUUGGGGACCUAAGGUUUUUGCAGGUACUGGACUUGGGCAGAAGUGGCAUAAAAAAACUGCCUCAAAGUGUUGGUCGGCUAACACAAUUGAAGUGCCUGCACUUUGGCGGUUCUAGCAUGGGGGUGUUGGACUGGACGAAUCUAACAUCUCUGGAAGCGCUACAGUUGCACCAUGUCUCUCCAGACUUUCUGAAAGAGCUGGGCAAGCUGAAGGAGCUGAGAGAGUUGAACCUAUACUUUGAAGAGGACGAUAAUAUGUUGUUCAAAGAUUUGGUGGGACGUGUUGCCAAUCUGCAAAAACUUCAAGUCAUAAGGGUUACUUGUUGGUAUCAAGAGGAUCCUGAGCUGUGGUCUGAUUACGCUGGCCCUGUGGCCCUUGGGCACCUGCGUCAUCUAACACUGCAUGCCCUGCUUCCUGUGCUGCCAGUGUGGAUUAACUCCUCAUGCCUCCCGAACCUCUGCCACUUGGAUAUGAACCUGAUAGCUAUGGAGUCGCAGGAUAUGGAGAUCCUCGGGUGGUUCUCAGAGCUCAUUACUCUAUGCAUUCAUUGCGAUGAUGGCGUUGUUUUUCCUGACACCAUGGAGGAGGGUGCAUUUCCCAAGUUGAGAUACUUGAAUCUGGAAAAUUCUGACCAACCCAGAUUUGUACGGGGAGCAAUGUCCAGCCUUGAGUAUAUUGAGUUCAUUGGCCUGGUACCGACCUAUGGCUUGGACUUUCAUAGCCUGGUGAACCUCCCUCGUCUUGAGAAAGUUGAUGUUGAAAUCGAUGGCAAAACUGCCAUGGGUAUCGACGUGCUGCAGGCACAUGCGUCGUUGAAGCAAGCGGUUGAGAUCCAUCCCAACCAUCCCGCACUCAAUGUACGUACUGACAUCAUUCGAGCCAUGGACCUUGCGACGGUGGCCAUGGGCUCCCUCCUCCCCAAGUUAUUCGAGCUCCUCCACGGAGAAUACAAGCUGCAAAUGGGCGUGAAGAAAGAUGUAGAAUUUCUCGAGAGGGAGAUGAGGAGCAUAGACGCCGCACUCCGCAAAGUGGCCAUGGUGCCGCGUGACAAGCUCGAUGACAACUCCAAGAUCUGGGCCGGUGAUGUUAGGGAGCUGGCAUACGAGAUGGAGGAUGUCGUUGAACGCUUCAUGGUGGGCGUCCACGGCUUUGAACCAGCUGCUAACCAAGACAGCUUCAAAGGGUUCGUGAAGAAGGUGUCCAACUUGUUCACAGAAGGCAAGACCCGACACCAGAUCGCUAAUGCGAUCAAGGCCAUCAAGGAUCAGAUUCAGGAGGUGACGGAUCAGCGUGACUGGUACAAGAUUGAUGAUGUUGAGGCAAGUCUAGCUGCUACAACCAUUGUUGACCCUCGGCUGAUGGCUCAGUUCAAAGAUCAGAGAGAGCUUGUUGGCAUCGAGGAGCCAAGGGACGAGCUAAUCAAGAGACUGGCAAAUGGAGAUGACUUUGUGUCCAAGCAGCAGCUCAAGAUACUCUCAAUUUUUGGAUCUGGAGGACUUGGCAAGACAACUCUUGCCAAAGCAGUUUAUAAUAAGUUGCAAACGGAAUUUGAAUGCAAGGCUUUUUAUUUGGUGGGUCAAAAUCCUAACCUGGAGAAUGUUCUCAUGGGUAUUUUCAGCCAAGUCGACAAAGCCUCUUGUUCCAAUGCAACAAUCUUGGAUGUGCGCCUUCUUAUUAUUAAACUCCGAGAGCUGCUUGUGAACAAGAGGUACCUCAUCGUCAUUGAUGAUAUAUGGGAUAUGGGUUUAUGGGAUCUAAUCAAAUGUGCUUUCAUUGAUAGUAAAUGCGGAAGUAGAGUAAUCACAACUACUCGUAUUUAUGAAGUGGCAAAAGCGGCACGUGACAUUUACUGCUUAGAAGCCCUUUCUCCUGGUAAAUCAAAGGAAUUGUUCAGUUUGAGAUUAUCUGUUGGUAAAAGCAAAAACCCUUGUGAUCCACCGGUUAAGAUAUCUGAAAAGAUAUUGCAGAAAUGUGGUGGGAUACCGCUAGCUAUCAUUACAAUAGCUAGCUUAUUGGCUAGUAAACCAGUAACAGAUUGGUCAGAGGUGUAUGACUCCAUUGGUUUUGGGAAUGAAGAUAACCAAGAAGUGUAUAACACAAGAAAGAUAUUGCUACAUAGCUACUAUGAUCUUCCAUAUUAUCCACGGAUAUGCUUAUUACACUUAAGCAUAUACCCUGAAUAUUAUGAGAUAGAUAAAGACAUUUUAAUAUGGAAGUGGGUAGCCGAAGGAUAUGUCCCUGAGGAACCAGGAAAAGGGCUAUUUGAGGUUGGAGAGAGAUACUUCAACAUGCUCAUAGAUAGAAGUAUGAUCCAGGCAGUAGAGUAUCCAUAUCAUAGCAUCAUAUAUGCUUGCCGUGUGCAUGAUUUGGUCCUUGAUAUGAUCCAUUUUGUGUCAAAGGAAGAAAGUGCUGUUACUUUCGUGAAGAGUAAUAGGAAACUCACAUCUUCGCAUAGCACCACUCGUAGGUUAGCCAUACAAAAUGAGCAGGAUGGAUCUGUGGCUAACAUGAGCAUGCAUCAAGUGAGGUCAUAUAAUGCCACCAUGUGUCAUUUCAGCAUGUUGCCAUUGCUUUCAAACUUUAAAGCUCUACGUGUGUUGGCUUUAGAAGAGUGCACUUUCAUGGGAAGUGAGCAAUUCUCUAUGAAGCCCGAAGAUUCUCCUUAUCAUCUCAAGCAUCUUGAGAGGCUGAUUCACCUGAGGUACCUUGGAAUAUCGGACCAGCUUGAGAGCUUAGAGGUCCCUGAAGAAAUUGGGGACCUAAGGUUUUUGCAGGUACUGGACUUGGGCAGAAGUGGCAUAAAAAAACUGCCUCAAAGUGUUGGUCGGCUAACACAACUAAAGUGCCUGCGCUUUCCUGGUUCUAGCAUGGAGGUGUUGGACUGCACGAAUCUAACAUCCCUGGAAGAGCUAAAAUUGCACACUGUCUCUACAGACUUUCUGAAGGGGCUGGGCAAGCUGAAGGAGAUGAGAGUGUUCGAAGUACUCUUUGAGGACCAUGAUAAUAUGUUGUUCAAAGAUUUGAUGGGAAAUCUUGCCAAUCUGCAAAAACUUCAAGUCAUAAUGGUUGAUUGUUGGAGUCGAGAUUGUAAGCAGUGGUCUGGUUACGCGGGCUCUGUGGCCCUUGGCCACCUCCGUCAUCUGACAGUGCAUGGCCUGCUUCCUGGGCUGCCAGUGUGGAUUAACACCUCAUGCCUCCCGAACCUCUGCCACUUGAAUAUGAAAUUGAAGGCUAUGGAACCGCAGGAUAUGGAGAUCCUCGGGAGGUUCUCAGAGCUCAUUACACUACGCAUUCGUUGCAAGGAUGGCGUUGUUUUUCCUGACACCAUGGAGGAGGGUGCAUUCCCCAAGUUGAGAUACCUGGAACUGGAAAAUUCUAACCAACCCAGAUUUGUACGGGGAGCAAUGUCCAGCCUUGAGUGUUUUGAGUUCAUCGGCCUGGUAGGGACCAAUGGCUUGGACUUUCAUAGCCUGAUGAACCUCCCUCGUCUCGAGAAAGUUGACGCUGAAAUCGAAGGAAAAACUGGCAUGGAUACCGACGUGCAGCAGGCACGUGCAUCGUUGAAGCAUGCAGUUGAGAUCCAUCCCAACCAUCCAACACUCAAUAUUCGCGGUAGGCAAAUGGAUGAUUGA
rnacentral:rRNA from 1 species